rnacentral:rRNA from 1 species
UGGUCAAGUUAUUAAGGGUGCAGGGCGGAUGCCUUGGCACUAGGAGCCGAUGAAGGACGUGAUAAGCUGCGAUAAGCUUCGGGGAGUUGCACGUAAACUUUGAUCCGAAGAUUUCCGAAUGAGGAAACUCACUUAGAGUAAUGUCUAAGUAUCAUUAAGUGAAUACAUAGCUUAAUGAGGGGAACUCAGGGAACUGAAACAUCUAAGUACCUGAAGGAAGAGAAAGAAAUUCGAUUCCGUAAGUAGCGGCGAGCGAACGCGGAUUAGCCCAAACCAAGAAAGUUUUCUUUAUUGGGGUUGCGGACAUAUCAUAACGAAGAGGUAUCGUAAUUGAAGAGGUUUGGAAAGACCCACCACAGAAGGUAAUAGUCCUGUAUGUUAAACGAGAAGACUU